rnacentral:rRNA from 1 species
UACGUAGGGUGCAAGCGUUGUCCGGAAUUAUUGGGCGUAAAGAGCUCGUAGGCGGUCUGUCGCGUCUGCUGUGAAAACUCGGGGCUUAACCCCGGGCCUGCAGUGGGUACGGGCAGACUAGAGUGCGGUAGGGGAGACUGGAAUUCCUGGUGUAGCGGUGAAAUGCGCAGAUAUCAGGAGGAACACCGGUGGCGAAGGCGGGUAGCUGGGCCGACACUGACGCUGAGGCGCGAAAGCCAGGGGAGCGAACGGG